GUCAACCGUAAGUGUUAGGGGACUCUUACCAGACCUGCUCAGAUUCUAGAAAUAUCAAAGCCAUAUCUAGAGAUUUUGUUCCUAGGCAAGUGCAUGUCUUUUUAAGCUCCUUUACCUUUGUGUCUCUGUUUACGUGGACUUUGGUCUUGGUCAUUCAAUUUCUCAAGUAAGUCUCUCAUGGAUUGAUGAACGAUGGCCCUCCACUCAUCUUUCCAGCAGUCGCAUUGGUUCAUCAGAGAGAAGUUGCUGCUUGGUGCUCCACUCAGUUCCCAUGUUAGAUUUCUCUUUUUCAAGUAAGGUUGUCGUCUGGAUCUUUACUCUUCAUAGCUGCCUCCUUAUUAUUUAUUUCGUGGAAUUGGUUGUCUUAAUUGCAUUAAAGAGCAGUAGAGCAUAUGGAUUGUAAAGAACAAGAAUCAUCUUCACAAACAGGCUGUCUAGUUCUUAUAAUUUCAGUGUCAUUUUUUUCCAACUUUAAAUGUGGAUUUUAGCUUAAUUUGUACAGGGAAUCUAAUUCUUGUUUUUUGCUUUCAAUCUUUUUGAGUAUCGAAUUUUUUUCUUUCCCUCCAUUUCCCUCUUUCCCCUCCCCUAUAUACUAUCCCUAUUACUUGUUUGCUUGAUAGGAAAGCUGAAGAAACAGCACUAAAUGAAAACUUUGAAGCACAUGGAUCAGUGUGUCUUAAUUUGCAAUAGAUGAAGCACAAAGUUAAAAUUUGUGUAAUAAGAGGUAUGAUUGAGUUGAUGAUUUUAUUUCUAUGAUUAAUGAACUCUAUUUUCCGCUUCUUCUUACUAGUUUUGUUCGGCAAUGAAGACUGUAUUUCAGCUCAUUUAAAUUCAGUGCUUGCUCAUUUCUAUUCUUAGAUAUUCUCAUAGAGGGAGCAUCAGAUAUUUUUUGUCAUCUAACUUGUAUCUUUGAAAAAUUGUAUUGUAAGAACUGCUGAUGAAGUCCUGGUUUUCAUCUCCUUAGAACCCAUGAUUCAAUUGACUGCAAAUUCUCCAGCAGUAGCAGUUAACAAAUUCAUUUGGGAUGCAUGAGGAUGGUUAUGCUAUUGAUCUGAAAUGAAUGCAAUUGUGCUUGUUUUGUAUCUCUUUGUUUUCUUUGGACUGUUUUCGAGUGGCUGUGGUACGAAUGUUACUUCAAGACCUGCUGUUGUAAAAAUUGGAGCCAUUUUUUCAUUCGACUCUACCAUUGGAAGAGUCGCCAAGAUUGCCAUUCAGGAAGCUGUCAAAGAUGUAAAUGCAAAUUCUAGCAUUCUGCAUGGAACCAAACUUGCUGUCACAAUGCACAGCUCCAACUGCAGUGGGUUUACGGGCAUGGUUGAAGCUCUGCGAUUCAUGGAGAAUGAUAUCGUUGCUAUUAUAGGCCCACAAUCUUCUGUAGUUGCUCAUAUCAUAUCCCAUGUUGUAAAUGAACUCCAAGUUCCUCUGUUGUCCUUUGCCGCAACAGAUCCCACUCUUAACUCACUCCAAUUCCCCUUUUUUGUUAGGACAACACAAAGUGAUUCAUACCAAAUGGCUGCAAUAGCUGAAAUAGUUGAUUAUUAUGGUUGGAAGCAGGUAAUUGCCAUUUUUAUUGAUGACGAUUACGGACGAAAUGGCAUAUUAGCUCUAAGUGAUAAACUUGCUGAGAGGAGGUGUAAAAUCUCUUACAAAUUGGGGAUUCCACCAGACACUGAUGUUAGUCAGGGAGAAAUCAUGGAUAUUCUUGUUAAGGUUGCAUUAAUGGAAUCUCGAGUUGUUGUUCUUCAUGUAAAUCCUAAGUUAGGUUUUAGUGUCUUGUCUGUGGCAAAAUAUCUUGGGAUGAUGGGUAAUGGAUAUGUAUGGAUUGCCACAGAUUGGCUUUCAUCUUAUUUAGAUUCUUUUUCUCCCCUAUCUUCUGAGACCAUGAACACAAUGCAAGGAGUUCUUGCUUUACGUCAUUACACUCCAGAUUCAGAUAGGAAGAGAUCCUUUUCCUCUAGGUGGAGCAAGUUGGCUGGUGGUUCUCUGGGGCUGAAUUCUUAUGGGCUUUAUGCUUAUGAUUCUGUCUGGCUGGUUGCUCAUGCUAUUGACGCAUUUUUUGACCAGGGUGGGGUUGUCUCAUUUUCUAAUGAUCCCAGGUUGAUUCCUGCAGAAGGUGGUAAUCUUCAUCUUGAUGCAAUGAACAUUUUUGAUGGUGGAACACUACUGCUGAAGAACAUAUUGAAGAGUGAUCUUAUUGGUUUAACAGGUCCACUAAAGUUUGAUUCUGACAGAUCUCUGAUUCUUCCUGCUUAUGAUGUUAUUAAUGUGAUAGGAACUGGGUAUAGACGGAUUGGUUACUGGUCCAAUUAUUCUGGUUUAUCAACUGUUCCUCCAGAGACACUCUAUACGGGGCCACCGAAUCGUUCCAGUGCAAACCAGCAUUUGUACAGUGUCAUUUGGCCUGGAGAGACAAUAUUAAAGCCCCGUGGAUGGGUUUUUCCCAACAAUGGGAAGCAAUUGAGAAUUGGUGUGCCUGUUCGGUUUAGUUUCAAGGAAUUUGUAACACAAGUGCGAGGGACGGACACGUUCAAGGGUUUUUGUGUAGAUGUAUUUACAGCUGCUAUAAGUUUAUUACCAUAUGCUGUUCCAUAUCAAUUUAUCCCCUUUGGAAAUGGUAAAGAAAACCCCAGCUACACAGAACUUGUGAAUAAGAUCACGACGGGUUUCUUUGAUGCUGUCAUUGGUGAUGUUGCCAUAGUCACAAAUCGAACCAAAAUUGUGGAUUUUACACAGCCAUAUGUAGCAUCAGGAUUGGUUGUUGUGGCCCCAUUUAGGAAAUUGAACUCAGGGGCCUGGGCUUUCCUCCGACCAUUUAGUCCACUUAUGUGGAUUGUUACUGGCUGUUUCUUCAUUGUUGUUGGCACAGUGGUCUGGAUUCUGGAGCAUAGGAUAAAUGAUGAGUUCAGGGGUCCACCUAAAAGACAAGUUAUAACUGUUUUAUGGUUCAGCCUCUCAACCCUAUUUUUUUCCCAUAGAGAAAACACUGUGGGCACCCUGGGUCGCUUUGUGCUAAUCAUAUGGCUCUUUGUAGUAUUAAUAAUUAAUUCAAGCUACACUGCAAGUCUUACAUCAAUACUCACAGUUCAGCGGUUAUUUUCUCCUAUCAGUGGGAUUGAAAGCUUGAAGGAAGGUGAUGAACCCAUAGGAUACCAAGUGGGUUCUUUUGUUGAAUAUUAUUUGAGCGAAGAACUUGGAAUAUCUAAAUCUAGGCUUGUUGCCUUAGGAUCACCUGAAGCAUAUGCUAAAGCACUCCAACUUGGUCCUAAAAAGAAGGGGGGUGUUGCUGCUGUUGUUGAUGAACUUCCUUACGUUGAACACUUCCUCUCAACCCAGUGUGCAUUCAGGAUUGUGGGUCAAGAAUUUACAAAAAGUGGCUGGGGCUUUGUGAGUGCCUAUUUUCUGGUUGCUAUGUUCUUUUCUCGUCUGAAAUCAGAAGCGUUAGGUCUAAAAUGCAUGGAUAUUUGUCUCGCUAAACAACUGAUGAAACAUUCAUUCAAUUGGUUCUUUUAUUCUUUGGCAUUUGGACUCUAAAUUCUGAGCUCACAUUGGAUUUAUUUCACAAGAUGAAAUUUGACAUAAUAUCUGCAAUUAAACAGUGCAAUAUAUGUUACUCAGGCUUCAUUUUUAUUCAUUCUUUCUUCUCGUGUAUUUUCUGCAUGCCAGGCAUUUCCACGGGACUCUCCCUUAGCUGUUGAUAUGUCAACGGCAAUUCUAGCACUAUCGGAAAAUGGUGAUCUUCAAAGGAUCCAUGACAAGUGGCUCAUGCAUAGCAGUUGCAGUUCAGAUAGAACUGAGAUCGAAUCAGAUAGACUUGAGCUUAAAAGCUUUUGGGGCCUCUUUGUCAUUUGUGGGCUAGCUUGCUUCUUUGCUCUCUUCAUAUAUUUUCUGCAGAUUAUACGCCAAUUAUAUCGUGCUCCCCCUACAGAAUCCACUUCCCCUGUUCAAGGUAGCUCACGCUCUGGGCGUAUUCACAGACUCUUAUCAUUAAUGGAUGAGAAGGAAGACCAUUCUGGGAAGAAGAAUAAGAGAAAGGUGGAAAGAUCAUUAUCUGAGAAUGAUAGGGAUGCAGAGUUGGGAAGGAAUACCAAGAGGAAGGGAGUAGAAAUGAGCUCCGGGAGCAACAUCAACCCCAGCAUUUAAUUCUGCAUGCUUGUUCAUGAGAAUAUACAGCCCCUUAAUUGUAUGAUUACACAAUAAUUUAACAAGACCAUAUUUUAGAGCCUUUUAAUUGUUUAUAUAUAUGUCCAAAACCAUAUCAUUUUGUAGGAAUUUUAGCAUAGAAAAUUUUGCUUAAUCCCCACAAGAGAAUCUUGGCUUGAAGAUUUUCCCUUGUGAAGAAAUGUUAAAAGUGAAAUACCGGAGCUAAUAAAGAAUGUAAAACAAUUGCAUUAUAUAGUAUAUUUUCACUUAUUA
rnacentral:misc_RNA from 1 species